CCUACGGGUGGCUGCAGUGGGGAAUAUUGGACAAUGGGGGCAACCCUGAUCCAGCCAUGCCGCGUGUGUGAAGAAGGCCCUCGGGGUGUAAAGCACUUUCAGUGAGGAAGAACGCCUGGUGGUUAAUACCCAUCAGGAAAGACAUCACUCACAGAAGAAGCACCGGCUAACUCCGUGCCAGCAGCCGCGGUAAUACGGAGGGUGCGAGCGUUAAUCGGAAUUACUGGGCGUAAAGCGCGCGUAGGUGGCUUGAUAAGCCGGUUGUGAAAGCCCCGGGCUCAACCUGGGAACGGCAUCCGGAACUGUCAAGCUAGAGUGCAGGAGAGGAAGGUAGAAUUCCCGGUGUAGCGGUGAAAUGCGUAGAGAUCGGGAGGAAUACCAGUGGCGAAGGCGGCCUUCUGGACUGACACUGACACUGAGGUGCGAAAGCGUGGGUAGCAAACAGGAUUAGAUACCCCGGUAGUC
rnacentral:rRNA from 1 species